rnacentral:ncRNA from 3 species
AACAUUCAACGCUGUCGGU